GAUGAACGCUAGCGGCAGGCUUAAUACAUGCAAGUCGUGGGGCAGCAUGAGUGUAGCAAUACAUUUGAUGGCGACCGGCAAACGGGUGCGGAACACGUACAGAACCCUCCUUCAAGCGGGGCAUAGCCCAGAGAAAUUUGGAUUAAUACCCCAUAAUAUAAUGAAGAGGCAUCUCUUUGUUAUUAAAGAUUUAUCACUUGAAGAUGGCUGUGCGGCUGAUUAGGUAGUUGGCGGGGUAACGGCCCACCAAGCCGGCGAUCAGUAACUGGUGUGAGAGAACGACCAGUCACACGGGCACUGAGACACGGGCCCGACUCCUACGGGAGGCAGCAGUAAGGAAUAUUGGUCAAUGGACGCAAGUCUGAACCAGCCAUGCCGCGUGGAGGAUGAAGGUCCUCUGGAUUGUAAACUUCUUUUAUAUGGGACGAAAAAAGGCUUUUCUAAGUCGUCUGACGGUACCAUAUGAAUAAGCACCGGCUAACUCCGUGCCAGCAGCCGCCGUAAGAC
rnacentral:rRNA from 1 species